AGUCGAGCGCCCCGCAAGGGGAGCGGCAGACGGGUGAGUAACGCGUGGGGAUGUGCCUGGUGGUACGGAACAACUCAGGGAAACUUGAGCUAAUGCCGUAUAAGCCCUUCGGGGGAAAGAUUUAUCGCCACCAGAUCAACCCGCGUUGGAUUAGCUAGUUGGUGAGGUAACGGCUCACCAAGGCGACGAUCCAUAGCUGGUCUGAGAGGAUGAUCAGCCACACUGGGACUGAGACACGGCCCAGACUCCUACGGGAGGCAGCAGUGGGGAAUAUUGGACAAUGGGCGCAAGCCUGAUCCAGCCAUGCCGCGUGAGUGAUGAAGGCCUUAGGGUUGUAAAGCUCUUUCACUGGGGAAGAUAAUGACGGUACCCAGAGAAGAAGCCCCGGCU
rnacentral:rRNA from 1 species